AACGAACGCUGGCGGCAUGCCUAACACAUGCAAGUCGAACGAGACCUUCGGGUCUAGUGGCGCACGGGUGCGUAACGCGUGGGAACCUGCCCUUAGGUUCGGAAUAACUCCCCGAAAGGGGUGCUAAUACCGGAUAAUGUCUUCGCACCAAAGAUUUAUCGCCUUUGGAUGGGCCCGCGUUGGAUUAGCUAGUUGGUAGGGUAAAAGCCUACCAAGGCGACGAUCCAUAGCUGGUCUGAGAGGAUGAUCAGCCACACUGGGACUGAGACACGGCCCAGACUCCUACGGGAGGCAGCAGUGGGGAAUAUUGGACAAUGGGCGAAAGCCUGAUCCAGCAAUGCCGCGUGAGUCAUGAAGGCCUUAGGGUUGUAAAGCUCUUUUACCCGGGAUGAUAAUGACAGUACCGGGAGAAUAAGCUCCGGCUAACUCCGUG
rnacentral:rRNA from 1 species